rnacentral:rRNA from 1 species
UACGAAGGGGGCUAGCGUUGUUCGGAAUUACUGGGCGUAAAGCGCACGUAGGCGGCUCUUUAAGUCGGGGGUGAAAUCCUGGAGCUCAACUCCAGAACUGCCUUCGAUACUGAAGAGCUCGAGUCCGGGAGAGGUGAGUGGAACUCCUAGUGUAGAGGUGAAAUUCGUAGAUAUUAGGAAGAACACCAGUGGCGAAGGCGGCUCACUGGCCCGAUACUGACGCUGAGGUGCGAAAGCGUGGGGAGCAAACAGGAUU